UCUACUUCCCCAUAUCAGUCCUGCAAAACCGGCCCAUUUCCUCUCAUUCCCAAUUGUUUUAAUUUAUGUUUUCCCUUUCCAAUGAGGCUUAUGCCUUCAAUUUCCAGCCUUCUGCACCCGGACCUGAUCUGUUCUUGCUUUUUGUUGCCUGUUCCUUGCCAGCUCACCUGUCGUACCUUUGUUGGAUUUGUUUGCCUGUUCACACUGCCAUCCUGUUGCCAACCAUGAAAGCCCGUUCCUGACCAUCAAGUGGAUAAACUGCAUGCUCAUCUAAUCAUCACUUCAAAUCAAGGGAUACCCAAUGGAAGCGAGGAAAAAGACAUGCUGCUGUGGUGUUGAUCCGCCAGAACUAUGUCCACAUAGACGUUAUAGUGAGCAGACGGAUCCAGAACGCUGAUGUUGAAGCUCAGGAAGGGGAACAUCCUCCUGGAGAAACACACAGGGAUAAACAUAAUUAAUAAUUUUUUGAAUAUCAUUUUGUGUGCAUGUAUCUUUAUUUAUUUUUUGGGAAUUGCAUCAUCUUAUGACUAAAAUU